GCGCGCCUAACACAUGCAAGUCGAACGAGCGAGAGAGAGCUUGCUUUCUCAAGCGAGUGGCGAACGGCUGAGUAACGCGUGAGGAACCUGCCUCAAAGAGGGGGACAACAGUUGGAAACGACUGCUAAUACCGCAUAAGCCCACGGGUCGGCAUCGACCAGAGGGAAAAGGAGCAAUCCGCUUUGAGAUGGCCUCGCGUCCGAUUAGCUAGUUGGUGAGGUAACGGCCCACCAAGGCAACGAUCGGUAGCCGGACUGAGAGGUUGAACGGCCACAUUGGGACUGAGACACGGCCCAGACUCCUACGGGAGGCAGCAGUGGGGAAUAUUGCACAAUGGGGGAAACCCUGAUGCAGCGACGCCGCGUGGAGGAAGAAGGUCUUCGGAUUGUAAACUCCUGUUGUUGAGGAAGAUAAUGACGGUACUCAACAAGGAAGUGACGGCUAACUACGUGCCAGCAGCCGCGGUAAAACGUAGGUCACAAGCGUUGUCCGGAAUUACUGGGUGUAAAGGGAGCGCAGGCGGGAAGACAAGUUGGAAGUGAAAUCCAUGGGCUCAACCCAUGAACUGCUUUCAAAACUGUUUUUCUUGAGUAGUGCAGAGGUAGGCGGAAUUCCCGGUGUAGCGGUGGAAUGCGUAGAUAUCGGGAGGAACACCAGUGGCGAAGGCGGCCUACUGGGCACCAACUGACGCUGAGGCUCGAAAGUGUGGGUAGCAAACAGGAUCAGAUACCCUGGUAGUCCACACCGUAAAAGAGGAUUAUUGGGGGUGGGAGGAUGACCCCUUCCAGGCCCGCAGUUAACACAAUAAGUAAUCCACCUGGGGAGUACGACCGCAAGGUUGAAACUCAAAGGAAUUGACGGGGGCCCGCACAAGCAGUGGAGUAUGUGGUUUAAUUGGACGCAACGCGAAGAACCUUACCAAGUCUUGACAUCCCUUGACGAUGCUGGAAACAGUAUUUCUCUUCGGAGCAAGGAGACAGGAGGUGCAUGGUUGUCGUCAGCUCGUGUCGUGAGAUGUUGGGUUAAGUCCCGCAACGAGCGCAACCCUUAUGGUCAGUUACUACGCAAGAGGACUCUGGCCAGACUGCCGUUGACAAAACGGAGGAAGGUGGGGAUGACGUCAAAUCAUCAUGCCCUUUAUGACUUGGGCUACACACGUACUACAAUGGCGUUAAACAAAGAGAAGCAAGACCGCGAGGUGGAGCAAAACUCAGAAACAACGUCCCAGUUCGGACUGCAGGCUGCAACUCGCCUGCACGAAGUCGGAAUUGCUAGUAAUCGUGGAUCAGCAUGCCACGGUGAAUACGUUCCCGGGCCUUGCACA
rnacentral:rRNA from 1 species